AUCUAUGGCCAUGCCACCCUAAACAUGCCCAAUCUUGUCUGAUUUCAGAAGCUAAGCAGGGUCGGGCCUGGUUAGUACUUGGAAGAUCAGGUGCUGUAGGCU
rnacentral:rRNA from 1 species